UACAAAAUGCUUUAUUUAACCUUCAUGCCUCCAUUCAGAUAAUUAUACAAAUGCAUACAUUUAAAGGUUUAAACUCUAUUUCAAUUCACAGCUCAAUUCAUAGGAAAGUUGAAUACAGAAAAGCAAUGCACCAACAAAAUAUGUCUGAGACACCAUUAAAAACGAUAACACUUGUUCAUUUAAAUCUUUGAGAAUAGAGUGGAAUAAUCAUCCUCUGACAGAAUUUCAUUAGGGGGCUCCCUUUACAUUAUCAUAGGGCAAAAAAAUCACCAUUUUACAGUAAGAGGAAAAAAAGCUCUGAGUAUAUUUACAAUACAUACACUAUACAUAAAUACAAGAACAACACUUACAUAAUAUUAAUAAACUUAUAACAUAGGUUUUGCCUAAACACUACAUAGUAUAUAAAUGCAGAGGAAACUAUUGGGAAAUUAGAUCUUCAGAUGUUUACUUUUAUUUUUGAAGAAAAGUAAUUUUUGCAUUUAAAAGCUUUUGAAAAGAAGGCAAAAGAAAGACUUAAGAAACUAAAAUGUUUGCUUGCUAGCACUGGUAUUUUUAUUCCUUUCAAGUGUAGGACCUCUAUUGACACUAUUAUCUCUAUGGGGUUACCGAUAAUGACCCUCCCUUUUGCAUCUUAUCUAGGAAAAAGAUCGAGGUGCCCUACAUACUAAUUCCAUUGCUGUGAAGCUUCAGUCCCAAAUUAAUAGCUUUGUAAACCAAGGGAUGUUUUUGUAUUUUUACACAGGAGGAUCAAAUCAACACUCAUUGGUACAUACGACGAUUAACGACCUGAUUAGAAGGAACAAUCUGGGGCCAAAUGCAACCCCAUCCUUAGGAUUUCAUUCAACUAAUGCCAGAGGGGAAUUUGCUUCUUCCAUAAGUGACUUGGCCAAGAAUGAUAUUUUUCAUUAUUGUUGUUUCUUCCUAAACACAGCUGAAAGAACUUUCCAAUUUAAUGGUAAUUUUGACCCCACAUGUUGAUAGCAGUGUCCAAAUCAUUUUAAGUGUACGAAUGCGUGUGUCUGUGUGUGUGGGUUGAAGGUCUUAAGGCUGAUGGUGCAUGAAACUGAAGUAAUUCAUUACUAUCUCUGUGUAUAUUCUAUUGCAAAGGCAAAUGGGAGAUGUAACCUUUUAGGGACAGACAGCAGUUCAAGAGAGCAUAUUGUGUAGGUGUUCAGCACAUAACUUAACUUAUAUUACCAACAAAGCAACGUCUAGGACAAUAAAGAAAGAAAUUAACUAUGGGGAUUUUUAAAUGAAAAAUAAGAUACAAAUGUAGCAGUGAAAAAAUAGUUUGAAACCAGAAAUGACAAAAUGAACUCUGAAUUGAGGAAAAGAUUAAUUCAGCCGUGCGGAUUAUGGCUCAAGCUGUCUUUCCAAAGAAGCUCUUUACAUCUAGAAAGGCAGGGACAGGGAGAAAAGCAGUAUCUGAACCUCUAUCUGUAUUCCAUGGUUCAUGCUUAUGACAAGCCAUCAAAGUCAUCACCUGUGGUCCCUUACCAGUCACUGAACUAUUGUUUUAUAAACGCAAAGGUCACAGCAUGGAGCAAGGUUUAGCAAGUUAAUUUGUGAACCACCAUUCACCACUUCUUUUACAAAUGGCAGCAUCUUGGCUCAUUGAAACUUUUGAGACUGAACUGGGGAAGCUGUUGCAGGUCACACACAUAUAGACAAUAGAACCCCAGAGAAUUAUUCUAUUCCUAUCUUCCUAAUAGCUAAAAUUCACAUGCCCGGUUUUGCUUGUCUGAAGGACUGAACAACUGUGUACUGAAUAAUCUAAAAAUUACUACAUGGGCAAUUCCAUUUAUUUUGUACUUUUAAGUCAGUAAGCACAAGCUACUAUAGAAGUAUGCUGGCAAAUCAAUAAAACUGACAAAAAAACCAACUCAGUAUUUGUUUUUCAGAAUGGAGGAAAAAAAGCCUGGCUCAUUUUGGGAUAGCGAAGACAAGGUGUUCUUUCCUACGCAAGAACUAACACUCGUAAUGCUGCAGUCAGCCAAACCUCCCAACACUGCAAGUUUCUAAGGGUGCCUCCUUGUAGUGUUGCUGCUCCAGAACAAAGAACCAAACCCUCCUCUCCAACAAUGGCUCAGGCUCAAGGUAAGAAACCAUUGUUUCCGUUGUCCCUCUGAUGACACAUUCCCUGGUGUCCUCCUAAAAUCUCCAUCAUGAAUUGUGUUCUUUUAUGUGCUUAAUAUCUGGAGAUUAAACUCAGGAUGACAGAAUAAGUACCUGCAUGUUCUGAUGGGAUAAUUUCCACCGGUGGCUAACAUUUAAAACUAAGCUGUUAACCAAACUAGCCGUCUUGUCACAGGAUGAACCAAGGUCCAUAAAUGUCUAGUUUUCACAUGUGAGCCCAUGUGCUUUUUUUCUGCACCUGCACUUUCUUUCGUAUAUGAGCAUCUUCAUGCACAUCCAAUCCUGCCUCCGUGAAUAAAACCCUAACAACCAUCCUGUUCCUGCAGCAAUCCACCAAUGCCAGCAAAAGCCUAGGCAAAAUGUGGAAUAUUUUCAAAUGCAAAGUUCUGCCUGGAUAAAUAACAGGUACAAAUUUAAAGGAUGGAAAGCAAUCUUCCUUGGCAAAGGUAUUAGGACUAACAGUUACAUUUUGAUCUCCAAUAAAGUCAUUUUUAGAAACAGAAGAAGCAUGAGGGAUGGCAUUACACUGCUAUUUUAAGAAUCCAUUAGCAGCAGUUAAUAUUUUUGAUUUUUACAGAAACUUACCAGAUUGAAAAAAAAAAACCCCGUAAUUGAGAAAAAAGAUUAGAAGAGUCACAGCUGGCCAUUUUCUUGCAAGAUCAAUUAGUCUAUUGAUGUAAAUGUUUAGCCCACUUGCUAUAAUAAACCUCCUUACUUCAUUUUAGGAAUAGCGACUUCUUGUUUGCUAUUCAAAUAGUCUCUAGACUGACAGUUCCCAGUUUUUCAUUCAUUUGUCCCCAAAAGAAAGUGAUAUAUUUUGCCCACUCCUGAAGUCAACCAGUUCUAAGAUGAUAUUAAAUACCACGAGCACUACGUGACAAAUAGAAAAGCGACAUAAGGUGAACUCUGCAUUUCCAGAGUUCAAUGCAGAGGAUUUUGCAAGAGAAUCCCCGCUCUACUAUAUACCCUAAAAAAGCUCCAUUCGGCUUAUUGCUGGUUUUUGGAUUAUUUCACUAGAGAAUACCCUGGAUACAUGGGCACAUCAGACAUAUAUUAGGGAAAAAAACCUUAAAACGCUGCUUGACAAUGACCUCCAUUCAUACCUACUGAGAAUUGAUAUGGAUAUGAGUCACUUGUAAACUAAGAUUCAUUUUCUUCUUACAAGUAUAUGACAGAUGUUAUCUGAGAAAAUAACUAAAACCUCUAACACAACAUCUCAACAUGUGAAAAUACAAAUGGCACUUUGUGUUUCUGUGCUGCAUUAUUUUUCUCCAAGUAAAAUUUCAUUUUCACCUACUGUUAACAGAAUCCUGCAAGUUAUUGCUGUGUAAAAGUAUAGGAACAUCCCAUCAGUUUUAAUUACAGGCACUUUCAGUUUCUGUUUCAUCUUUUAAAAUAGAUUUUAGGCUAUCCUGCUGAAGCGUAUGUGCAUUUUAAAUGUCAUAACUGUCCUGCUACAAUUGAUUUGGUUGACAUGUUACUGCACCUAAAAGACUAAACUCCCCUGCAACCAGCAAAGAGCAGCUGUCCAUUUCAGCUCUGCAACCUUUAUUCAAGGUGCACUGUAGUCAGGGAAAUAUAAGAAGAAAUAAAAUGAAAUGAGAGUUUGCUGUUACUGUAUCUGCAAUUCACUGUAAAAUGCCAGAAAGAAAAAAAAACCAAACCCCACACAAAAAACCCCAAACCUUUCAUAUGGUUUUCAUUUUGUUUCUUUUUUUUAAUUCAGUCAAAGACAUUCUGAGUGUUGACUUAUUUGACACUGAAGGACUCAGUAUGACUUUGCUAUAUCACAUGCUAUCUGCGAAACAGCAAAGAAGUGGCCACUCCAUGUUGCAGAGAAAACAUGCUCUGAUAAAACUGAACAAUUUACUUCUUACAUUUUGUGUUUAAGCUUUGCAAGGCAUUUUCUAACCAGUUUUCCUGAUGAAAAUGAAAGGAUUUUUUAAAAUGUACUUCAUUUUACCUAUUUACAUCCCGUGUAAAAUUGUGAGUUCGAAAAUACUUUUCCACUAUCACAUAUAUUACAGAAUAUCUAAACUGUCACAAGUAUAGUAAAAUACUUUUUUGAUUUCUAAAGAUGCAGUAUCCUUAUAGCUAUGUUUUUGUACUAAAACCUGAUUUACUGCAGAAAUUGAUCAGAAUUGAAGCCUUUUCACAGUACCAAUGGGCAUGACUGCAGAAACAUACAUUACAGAGCAAUUGUUAUGCUAUCGCAGAGCUGUGAAAAUACAACUAUCUUUAAAUUUCUGUGUGCACUUCUCCAGUUACAAAUCACAGACAAAGGCAUAAUACAACAACAUGAGCUGGUUUCUUAAGAAGGUAGUAUUUUCUUUUAUAGUGCUUAUUGCCAAUUUGAAAUUUUCCUAUUCAUUUUUUUAAAAUAAACUAACUUGGUUUUUUACCUGCACAUGGGUGGAGGCACGUGGAAGCGCUGAAGUUCAUAUGCACGAGGGUAUGGAUGAACAUGCAGGAGUGGGGCGGAUUUACUGAACCAUCCUAAGACUUGUCUGCCGUGGAUGAUGCAGUUUCAGACACUGACCUUUCCAAAGUUCAAACUAAAAAAUAAGCGGGAUAUAAAAAGUGAAACUUACUCUGAUUUUGAGGUACCCACCUUCAAUAAAGGAGAACGAGAUUUUUUCCGUUAAACAGCAUUUAUUAUCAGAAGAUAAAUUUAUAAAUGGCAACUAGAAUACAUUUUCAAUGUGGCUAAUGGAAAAUGAGACUUAUGAUAGCUGUCAUUCCAAUUAUUAAAGGGGAGAAAGGUUUUCCAGCUAUUUGUCCAUGCUCUGCACUGUGAGUUUACCCCAAACAUCAAUGCCACUGAUGUAAUUUUCAACACUGUUAAUUUUGUUAUACAUUACUCCAGCAAAUAAUCAUAUAUACAAGUCAGUCUAAAUCUAUUUAGUUAACUGUAUAAGCAUGAUAGAGAAUAAGGAAUACUGCAUCUUCAUCCCUACGUAUAAAUUGCUGUUGCUAUGAGCCAAUUUUAUAGUGCUGGUGCACUGUAAAACAGGUGCUCAAAAAAUAACGACAAUUUAAAAUUCAAAAACUGCUUGCUCCUUACAUUUUCCUAGAAUGCUGGCUUCUGAGAUUUCCUGACAGAUCAGUGAAUUAUAGAAUGGUUUGGGCUGGAAGUGAUCUUACAGAUCACUUAGUUCCAACCCCCCUGCUAUGGGCAGGGACGCCUUCCACUAGAGCAGGUUGCUGAAAGCCCCAUCCAACCUGGCCUUCAACACUGCCAGGGAUGAGGCAUCCACAGCUUCUUUGGGCAACCUUGGCCAAUUGAAAACAGUCUUUUUGAAAACAUACAAAAUCUGACACUUUGUGGCAUAGUUUCUCUUGUAAGCUGUAAUGGGCAUGGUGGAUGUUUCCCAUCGUUACUUACACUCGAAAGCAUAAAUGUCUGUCUUUCUGAAAGAAUGGGACAGUCUAUAUUUGUCUUUCCCAACUGCUCAAUUAAGAUGGACCUACUGUGUUGCGUCAAGAUGAAAUCUGGUAUUUCUGCAUGCUACAUAUGACAUAAGCCUUCACCAUGGUUAUGAAAUGUCAUGGACC
rnacentral:lncRNA from 1 species